CAGUUAAAUUUGAAUUAAGGCAAACCACAAAGAAUUUUUUAGUACAAGUAUGUCCCAUGCCCUAUUUACGACAUACUUAUACCAAAAAUGAGUCUCAUCUGCAAUUCAGAUUUAACU
rnacentral:miRNA from 1 species